GACGAACGCUGGCGGCGUGCUUAACACAUGCAAGUCGAACGGUGAAGGGACCAGCUUGCUGGUUCUGGAUGAGUGGCGAACGGGUGAGUAACACGUGAGUAACCUGCCCCCUUCUUCUGGAUAACCGCAUGAAAGUGUGGCUAAUACGGGAUAUUCUGGGUCUGUCGCAUGGCGGGCCCGGGAAAGAUAUUGCUUCGGUGGGGGAUGGGCUCGCGGCCUAUCAGCUUGUUGGUGGGGUGAUGGCCUACCAAGGCGGUGACGGGUAGCCGGCCUGAGAGGGUGGACGGUCACACUGGGACUGAGACACGGCCCAGACUCCUACGGGAGGCAGCAGUGGGGAAUAUUGCACAAUGGGCGCAAGCCUGAUGCAGCGACGCCGCGUGAGGGAUGGAGGCCUUCGGGUUGUAAACCUCUUUCGCCAGUGAAGCAGGCCUGCUCCUUGUGGGUGGGUUGACGGUAGCUGGAUAAGAAGCGCCGGCUAACUACG
rnacentral:rRNA from 1 species